UACGUAGGGUGCAGGCGUUAAUCGGAAUUACUGGGCGUAAAGGGCGCGUAGGCGGCUUUGCAAGUGACGGGUGAAAUCCCUCGGCUUAACCGAGGAACUGCCUGUCAAACUGCAUGGCUUGAGACCGGGAGAGGUGAGUGGAAUUCCCAGUGUAGCGGUGAAAUGCGUAGAUAUUGGGAGGAACACCAGUGGCGAAGGCGGCUCACUGGACCGGUACUGACGCUGAUGCGCGAAAGCGUGGGGAGCAAACAGG
rnacentral:rRNA from 1 species